CGCAUCUGUGCAUGCAGCAUAUCAAUAAGCGGAGGAAAAGAAACUAACAAGGAUUCCCCUAGUAACGGCGAGUGAAGCGGGAAGAGCUCAAAUUUGAAAUCUUAAAGGGUUUCCCUUUACGAAUUGUAGUUUAAAGAAGUGUUUUCUGUUGAGGUUUUGGUAAAAGUUCUUUGGAAUAGGACAUCAUAGAGGGUGAGAAUCCCGUAUUUGACCUUUACUUUCAACUUUGUGAUACACUUUCAAAGAGUCGGAUUGUUUGGGAAUGCAGUCCAAAAUGGGUGGUAAAUUUCAUCUAAAGCUAAAUAUCGGCGAGAGACCGAUAGCGAACAAGUACCGUGAGGGAAAGAUGAAAAGAACUUUGAAAAGAGAGUUAAACAGUACGUGAAAUUGUCAAAAGGGAAGCGUUUGACACCAGUGUUGUUUUUCUGAAAAUCAAUUAAAGAACUGUUUAUGCUAAGUUGUUUAGACUUUAUCAGCUAACUGUUUAGUUUUGAGCUUUUCUUUAAUGCACUUUUCAGUUAACAAGUCAACAUCAAUUUCUCUUGCUGUAAAAAAGCUUGAGGAAGGUGGCUUGAGAUUCGUCUUAAGUGUUUAUAGCCUCUUGCCUAUGCAGUCGGAGAGAUUGAGGUCUGCAGCGUAGAUCCUUCGGGGCUAAAUGCAUUUGUGCUAAGUUAUAGCAUUUUAUAGACAACUUGUUGACUAUGAUUUGUCUUGUAGCUUACUCGCUUAUGUUAUUUUACCUACGCUUAGGAUGUUGAGUCAUCACACAUCUCU
rnacentral:rRNA from 1 species